AGCGAACGCUGGCGGCAUGCUUAACACAUGCAAGUCGCGCGGUCAGCAAUGGCAGCGGCGGACGGGUGAGUAACGCGUAGGAAUGUGUCUUGAGGUGGGGGACAACCCUGGGAAACUGGGGCUAAUACCGCAUGUGUCCUGAGGGACAAAGCCGUGAGGCGCCUUGAGAGCAGCCUGCGUCCGAUUAGGUAGUUGGUGGGGUAAUGGCCUACCAAGCCUGCGAUCGGUAGCUGGUCUGAGAGGACGACCAGCCACACUGGGGCUGAGACACGGCGCAGACUCCUACGGGAGGCAGCAGUGGGGAAUAUUGGACAAUGGGCGCAAGCCUGAUCCAGCAAUGCCGCGUGGAUGAAGAAGGUCUUCGGAUUGUAAAGUCCUUUCGGCGGGGACGAUGAUGACGGUACCCGCAGAAGAAGCCCCGGCUAACUUCGUGCCAGCCGCCGCAGUAAAAC
rnacentral:rRNA from 1 species